rnacentral:rRNA from 1 species
AUUCCAGCUCCAAUAGCGUAUAUUAAAGUUGUUGCAGUUAAAAAGCUCGUAGUUGGAUUUCUGGCGGGAGCGGCCUGUCCUGCCCUUUGCGGGGUUGAGCACAAGCGCUGCAUCCGGCCAUCCUUGUGGAGAGCGUUUCUGGCAUUCAGUCGUCGGACUCGGGAUCCGCAUCGUUUACUGUGAAAAAAUUAGAGUGUUUAAAGCAGGCAUUUGCUUGAAUACAUUAGCAUGGAAUAAUAAGAUAGGACUUAGUCGUUAUUUUGUUGGUCUUGCACGUCUAGGUAAUGAUUAAUAGGGAUAGUUGGGGGUAUUCAUAUUUAAUUGUCAGAGGUGAAAUUCUUGGAUUUAUGAAAGAUGAACUUAUGCGAAAGCAUUUACCAUGGAUGUUUUCAUUA